rnacentral:rRNA from 1 species
AUGGAUUUUAUCACGGGAUUGCCCAGGACUCAUUCAGGCUAUGACUCAAUAUGGGUUGUAGUCGACCGUUUGACGAAAGUAGCUCAUUUCAAUCCAGUGAAGACCACUUACACCAGUGCUAAGUUGGCAAAGAUAUACAUGACCAGGAUCGUAUGUUUGCAUGGAGUUCCGAGGACCAUUGUAUCAGAUAGAGGAACCCAGUUUACCUCGAAGUUUUGGAAGCAGUUACAUGAAACAUUGGGAACCAGGCUAGAAUUUAGUACAGCCUUUCACCCACAGAUAGAUGGACAGACCGAAAGAGUCAAUCAGAUUUUGGAAGACAUG